rnacentral:rRNA from 1 species
AUUGAACGCUGGCGGCAUGCUUUACACAUGCAAGUCGAACGGUAACAGGCCGCAAGGUGCUGACGAGUGGCGGACGGGUGAGUAAUGCAUCGGAACGUGCCCAGUCGUGGGGGAUAACUACUCGAAAGAGUAGCUAAUACCGCAUACGAUCUAUGGAUGAAAGCGGGGGACCGUAAGGCCUCGCGCGAUUGGAGCGGCCGAUGUCAGAUUAGGUAGUUGGUGGGGUAAAGGCUCACCAAGCCAACGAUCUGUAGCUGGUCUGAGAGGACGACCAGCCACACUGGGACUGAGACACGGCCCAGACUCCUACGGGAGGCAGCAGUGGGGAAUUUUGGACAAAGGGCGCAAGCCUGAUCCAGCAAUGCCGCGUGCAGGAAGAAGGCCUUCGGGUUGUAAACUGCUUUUGUACGGAACGAAACGGCUCUGGUUAAUACCCGGGGCUAAUGACGGUACCGUAAGAAUAAGCACCGGCUAACUACGUG